rnacentral:rRNA from 1 species
UACGUAGGGGGCAAGCGUUGUCCGGAAUUAUUGGGCGUAAAGAGCGUGUAGGCGGUCCGGUAAGUCAGCUGUGAAAGUCAAGGGCUCAACCCUUGAAUGCCGGUUGAUACUGUCGGGCUAGAGUCCGGAAGAGGCGAGUGGAAUUCCCGGUGUAGCGGUGAAAUGCGCAGAUAUCGGGAGGAACACCUGCGGCGAAGGCGGGUUGCUGGGCCGACACUGACGCUGAUGCGCGAAAGCCAGGGGAGCGAACGGG